GGGGGGGGGGGGGGGGGGGGGGGGGGGGGGGGGGGGGGGGGGGGGGGGGGGGGGGGUCCUCACACCGCCCGGAGCCCCCUCACACCGCCCCCGAGCCCCUCACACCGCCCCGGAGCCCCUCACAACACCCCGAGCCCCCUCACACCGCCCGGAGCCCCUCACACCGCCCUGCACCUGCCUCCGCGCCUGCUGCUCCGGCCUGCAGAGCUUCCUCCCCUACCGCAGUCUGAACAGCAAAUACCAUAAAUCAUGUCAGCAACACAGCCAGGAUCCAAACCCCAAAUGCACUGAAGCCCUAGGCCCAAAUAGGAGCCACGCACUGGGAGCAUCUCCGAGCUUAUUUUGCAGAAAAGGCCAACGAGGGAGAAGAAGUGAGGGAUGA
rnacentral:lncRNA from 12 species